AGGUUAAGUUAACAAGGGCGCAUGGUGAAUGCCUUGGCACUAGGAGCCGAUGAAGGACGGGACUAACACCGAUAUGCUUCGGGGAGCUGUACGUAAGCUAUGAUCCGGAGAUUUCCGAAUGGGGCAACCCAGCAGUUUUAAUCAACUGUUACCACUAGAUGAAUUCAUAGUCUAGUUGGAGGUAAACGCUGUGAACUGAAACAUCUCAUUAGCAGCAGGAAUAUAAAGAAAUUUCGAUUCCCUAAGUAGCGGCGAGCGAACGGGGAACAGCCCAAACCAAAGUGCUUGCACUUUGGGGUUGUAGGACUGAACAUUUGAGUUACCAAAGAACUUGAUAGUCGAAGGAUUUGGGAAAAUCCGCCAUAGAUGGUGAUAGCCCAGUAGAUUAAAUCAAAUUCUCUCAGUUCAGGAUCCUGAGUACGGCGGAACACGUGAAAUUCCGUCGGAAUCCGGGAGGACCAUCUCCCAAGGCUAAAUACUACCUAGUGACCGAUAGUGAACCAGUACCGUGAGGGAAAGGUGAAAAGCACCCCGGGAGGGGAGUGAAAUAGUUCCUGAAACCAUGUGCCUACAAUAAGUCAGAGCGCGUUAAUGCGUGAUGGCGUGCCUUUUGUAGAAUGAACCGGCGAGUUAUGAUCCCGUGCAAGGUUAAGACUAAAAAGUCGGAGCCGUAGCGAAAGCGAGUCUGAAAUGGGCGUUUUGAGUACGAGGUUAUAGACCCGAAACCAGGUGACCUAUCCAUGCCCAGGUUGAAGGUGCGGUAAAACGCACUGGAGGACCGAACCCGUGUAAGUUGAAAAUUGCUGGGAUGAGGUGUGGAUAGCGGUGAAAUUCCAAACGAACUUGGAGAUAGCUGGUUCUCUCCGAAAUAGCUUUAGGGCUAGCCUCGGAAUUAGGAUCAUGGAGGUAGAGCACUAUUUGGACUAGGGGCCCGUCUUGGGUUACUGAAUUCAGAUAAACUCCGAAUGCCAUUGAUUCAUAUCCGGGAGUCAGACGAUGAGUGAUAAGAUCCACCGUCGAAAGGGGAACAGCCCAGACCAUCAGUUAAGGUCCCUAAAUGUAUGCUAAGUGGAAAAGGAUGUGGAGUUGCAUAGACAACUAGGAUGUUGGCUCAGAAGCAGCCACCAUUUAAAGAGUGCGUAAUAGCUCACUAGUCGAGUGAUCCUGCGCCGAAAAUGUACCGGGGCUAAGCAUACUACCGAAACCAUGGAUGCGACCAUUAGGUCGCGUGAUAGGAGAGCGUUCUAAGGGCGGUGAAGCAAGAUCGUGAGGACUUGUGGAGCGCUUAGAAGUGAGAAUGCCGGUAUGAGUAGCGAAAGAUAGGUGAGAAUCCUAUCCACCGAAUGACUAAGGUUUCCUGGGGAAGGCUCGUCCUCCCAGGGUUAGUCGGGACCUAAGUCGAGGCCGAGAGGCGUAGACGAUGGAUAACAGGUUGAGAUUCCUGUACUAGUUAAGUGCGUUUGAGCAAUGGAGGGACGCAGGAGGCUAAGAUGUGCAUUCUGUUGGAUUAGAAUGUCCAAGCAGUAAGUCUUGUGAAGAGUCAAAUGCUUUUCACUUUAAGGACAAGCUGUGAUGGGGAGCGAAAUUUAGUAGCGAAGCGUCUGAUGUCACACUGCCGAGAAAAGCUUCUAGUGAGUACUUAACUACCCGUACCGCAAACCGACACAGGUAGUCGAGGAGAGAAUCCUAAGGUGAGCGAGUGAACUCUCGUUAAGGAACUCGGCAAAAUGACCCCGUAACUUCGGGAGAAGGGGUGCUGAUCGCAAGAUCAGCCGCAGUGAAUAGGCCCAGGCGACUGUUUAUCAAAAACACAGGUCUCUGCAAAAUCGUAAGAUGACGUAUAGGGGCUGACGCCUGCCCGGUGCUGGAAGGUUAAAAGGAUGGGUUAGCUUCGGCGAAGCUCAGAAUUGAAGCCCCAGUAAACGGCGGCCGUAACUAUAACGGUCCUAAGGUAGCGAAAUUCCUUGUCGGGUAAGUUCCGACCCGCACGAAAGGCGUAACGAUCUGGGCACUGUCUCAACGAGAGACUCGGUGAAAUUAUAUUGUCCGUGAAGAUGCGGACUACCCGCGACAGGACGGAAAGACCCCAUGGAGCUUUACUGUAGCUUGAUAUUGAGUGUUUGUACAGCUUGUACAGGAUAGGUAGGAGCCAUAGAAACCGGAACGCUAGUUUCGGUGGAGGCGUUGGUGGGAUACUACCCUCGCUGUAUGACCACUCUAACCCGCACCACUAAUCGUGGUGGGAGACAGUGUCAGGUGGGCAGUUUGACUGGGGCGGUCGCCUCCUAAAAAGUAACGGAGGCGCCCAAAGGUUCCCUCAGAAUGGUUGGAAAUCAUUCGCAGAGUGUAAAGGCACAAGGGAGCUUGACUGCGAGACAGACAGGUCGAGCAGGGACGAAAGUCGGGCUUAGUGAUCCGGUGGUACCGUAUGGAAGGGCCAUCGCUCAACGGAUAAAAGCUACCCUGGGGAUAACAGGCUUAUCUCCCCCAAGAGUCCACAUCGACGGGGAGGUUUGGCACCUCGAUGUCGGCUCAUCGCAUCCUGGGGCUGUAGUCGGUCCCAAGGGUUGGGCUGUUCGCCCAUUAAAGCGGUACGCGAGCUGGGUUCAGAACGUCGUGAGACAGUUCGGUCCCUAUCCGUCGCGGGCGUAGGAAAUUUGAGAGGACCUGUCCUUAGUACGAGAGGACCGGGAUGGACAUACCUCUGGUGUACCAGUUGUGCCGCCAGGCGCAUCGCUGGGUAGCUACGUAUGGAUGUGAUAAACGCUGAAAGCAUCUAAGUGUGAAACACACCUCGAGAUGAGAUUUCCCAUUCCUUUAUGGAAGUAAGACCCCUGAAAGAUGAUCAGGUAGAUAGGUUAGAAGUGGCAGUGCGGUGACGCAUGAAGCGGACUAAUACUAAUCGGUCGAGGACUUAACCAAG
rnacentral:rRNA from 2 species